rnacentral:rRNA from 1 species
GUGUCAGCAGCCGCGGUAAUACGUAGGAUGGUUUGCUCGAGAGGAUUUAUUGGGCGUAAAGCGAACGUAGGCGGUUUCCUAAGUUCGGGGUUAAAGACCGAGGCUCAACCUCGGGAGUGCCCUGGAUACUGGGAGACUGGAGGACGGCAGAGGAAAGUGGAAUUCCCAGUGUAGCGGUGAAAUGCGUAGAUAUUGGGAGGAACACCAGUGGCGAAAGCGACUUUCUGGGCCGUUCCUGACGCUGAGGUUCGAAAGCGUGGGGAGCAAACAGGAUUAGAUACCCUGGUAGUCCACGCCGUAAACGAUGGAUACUAGGUGUCAUCGGUAUCAACCCCGGUGGUGCCGUAGCUAACGCGUUAAGUAUCCCGCCUGGGGAGUACGGUCGCAAGGCUGAA